UUAAACCAUGACAGUGAUAAUACCAAAUGUUUCUGAAAAGUACCAGAAAACCUGACAUUUCCAUAGGCAGGUAACUUGGCAAGUCCAAAGAGAACAACUGAUUUCUCGCUUUCAGCUGCUCAAAAGUGUGGUUUAUAUUUUGAGAAAAGAUAAAUAAUUCCAGACUUCCUCUACUGGGAGGAGCAGUCUGUAUUUUCAUGAGUCAUUUGAGGCUUUGUUUCCCAUAAACCUGUUUCCCCUCAGCCCUAUAUUUUUCCAAACUCGCCAGCUUCUUCUUGUUUACGUAAAGACGCUGAAAACAGAAAGUUUCCCUUCUUCAUAAUUCUGUUGUGCGUGCAUUCAAGGACCACAGAUAUUGAACAAUCUCUUCAGUGAUGUAUACAUCCUUGGAAGAAAAUUUAAUUAACCCUAAUUGAUUUUUAACCAAGUCAGUCUUCAGAGUAAGCACUUUUGAAGACUGCUCAGCUGAUCAGUGAUCAACUUGGUAAAUAGACUAAAUGGAGUCUCAUUUGAAACUGAGCUGUGUUUGCAGCCAGAGUAUGGACUGUCUGUUCUGAUUUACCACACUAGUAUUUAUAGCAUAUAAUCUAUGAAAUGCAGCCAUAAUAUUCAUUCAUAAAUGUCAACAACAAUUAUCAAAGCUGUUCCUACCAUGUUAAAUCUAGCGUUCAAUCACUCUAGUGUUUCCACGUAUUUUAGUUCCUUCUCUGUACCUGAGGAGAUACAUGUCUCAAGUUGUAACUAACAGCACUCUUUUCACCCUGAAACUCCUGCCUUUAUGAUCCCCAGAAUACUUGAAUCUGUAUCUUCUGUCCCAUGUCACAAAUUUCAAAUGUCUUUCUGCUAACUGAGAAGAAUAUAUGACUUCUGCAGUAUCUUCCUCCCACCAGAGAACCCUGGGGAAUCGCUGCAUAUUUAUUUCUGGUCUAAACACCAGCUAAUGAGGAGUUCAUCAUUACCUCAGAAAUUCCUUUCUGGAAAACAUAACCUAGGUUUGAAGACCUGGGCUAUUUUAUUCACCAUUGUGCUGCUGCAAAAUGAUACCUUCUUGCUAAUCACAGACUAUGUCUUGUGUUUUUAAACCUUAGGAGCCAUUUCUGGGAGUCUCAACUCACACUAUUAGCUAUCUCCCUGAAGGCAAUGCUAGCACAGCAACUGUGGUGCUGCUUAGAGACUGAUUUCUUGAUUUGGAAAAAUAUUGCAGCAUCAGCAAGCUCUGUUUAAUGUGGUCGUGUCACACAUUAUCCAAGUUUUGAACUGAUGAAGAUGAUCAAAUCCACCUGCCAAUGGAUUUCACAGAAUCACAGCAGCUUGGGAGAGAUCUCCAGAAGCCAUCUGGAGUAACUCCCUGCUCAAGCCAGAACACACAGAACCUCUUGCCAGGAUCAUGUCUAAAAGGCUUUUGAAUAACUUCAAGGAUGGAGACUCCAUGACCUCCCCAGGUGACCUGUGUUAGUGCUUGGUCAUCCUCACAAUAA